rnacentral:rRNA from 1 species
UACGUAGGGGGCAAGCGUUGUCCGGAAUCAUUGGGCGUAAAGAGCGUGUAGGCGGUCCGGUCAGUCGGUUGUGAAAGUCAUGGGCUCAACCCUUGAAUGCCGGCCGAUACUGCCGGGCUAGAGUCCGGAAGAGGUGAGUGGAAUUCCUGGUGUAGCGGUGAAAUGCGCAGAUAUCAGGAGGAACACCGAUGGCGAAGGCAGCUCACUGGGACGGUACUGACGCUGAGACGCGAAAGCGUGGGGAGCAAACAGG